rnacentral:lncRNA from 1 species
UUAAAAUGAUAAUAAAUAAUCUAUUAAUGAGAUUAAAUAGUAACUUACAACAUGACAUGAGAUAAAUUAACUAAUAAUAACUAUUAGUGUUAGAUUAGUACUACAAAUUACUAAUAGUUAUAUCACAUACAUGCAUGCAUCAUUUUUUCAAAUAUGGAAUAUUUAACCUGAUGAAAUUACGAAACUAUCAUAUCAUCAUAUCAUAUCAUAUCAUUCAAAAUGAAACUAAAUUUCCGAGAUAUCUAUCUAUCUAUCUAUUGUAGAUAGCCAAAGAAAUAUGUGGCAGGCAGUGCGUUAAUGACUUCAAAUAUUUUCUCAUGCUACCUACCUGUUCUAACACCACCUUAAUAUAACCAACGCCAACAUAGCUAAGAAAACCAAAGCCAGAAUACCGGUUACCGCUCCUACCGGUAUCCUCCAAUUCUUUCUCUCCCUCCUCUUUCUCUUCAUUUCCACAUACUUUCUAUACCCUUCUUUCUCCUCCCCUUUCUUUCCUUUCCUUCUCUUCCCACUUUCCACCGCCUCCAGCAGAAUCCCCAAACUAUCCCUCCCACUCAAGCACUUGCUAUCCAUAUCAUGAAUUUGCAAAUUUACCGUCUUCAACUCCAAUUCUCCUCCUUCCUUCCACUCGAGCAUAACCGCUAUUCUCAACUCCACCAACUUCGACAUACCGGCCCGGCAACCGCCGACCGCCAAAGACAAGGAAAGGAAAGGAAGUUUUGCACGUUAGGACAUACUUGUUGACAAAUACUAGUACUACUCCAUUUAAGUUGUUUAUUAGGAUUUUGUCUUCUUUUAGUAAAUCAUGUGAUUGAUUUUUGACGACAUUUAUAGUAGCAGCCGUUCGUCACAUGGAAUUAAGAUUGGAUAAUUAAUGGAUGAGACACCAAAAGGAUAACUCUUUUUUUUAUCUUUAAAAAAAUACUCGAUAUAAUUAAGUCAUCUAGUGAAUUUUUUUGUAUAUAAUAAAUAAAAAUUAAAUAUGAAACUUGUAACUCUGUAAUAUCUAUCAGGCUAAAACAUCUUUACUGUGCAUAAGGCAAGGAUCCCUUCAAUUUUUCCCUAGUUCCCUUUCCCCCAAGUUUUAAUUUUAAUUAGAAUAUUAGAUCAUAAAAUAGUGACUACCAAGGCUUGUAAAUUAAAG